rnacentral:rRNA from 1 species
UGCCACUCUUAACGGGGUGUCUUUUCAGAAGUGUAAAAAGCUUCUGGAAUAAGGUCUGGGCAAGACCGGUGCCACCCGCCGCGGUAACACCGGCAUCUCAAGUGGUACCCGCUUUUAUUGGGCCUAAAGCGUCCGUACCCGGUCUGAUAAGUCUCUGGUGAAAUCCCACAGCUUAACUGUGGGAAUUGCCGGAGAUACUAUCAUGACUCGAGGUCGGGAGAGGCUGGAGGUACUCCCA